rnacentral:tRNA from 1 species
GCCAGAAUGGCGGAACAGGCAGACGCGACAGACUCAAAAUCUGUUGCCCUCACGGGUGUAAGGGUUCAAGUCCCUUUUCUGGCA